GGACUACAGGGGUAUCUAAUCCCGUUUGCUCCCCUGGCUUUCGUGUCUCAGCGUCAGCACACUCCCAGCGAGCUGUUUUCACCGUUGGCGUUCCAAAUGAUAUCUACGCAUUUCACCGCUCCACCAUUUGUUCCGCUCGCCCCUAAGUGGCUCAAGACAGCUAGUAUGCCCAGCAGUUCCACGGUUAAGCCGUGGGAUUUCACAAGGCACUUAACUAUCCGCCUACACACGCUUUAAGCCCAGUGAUUCCGCCUAACGCUCGGCACCUCUGUAUUACCGCGGCUGCUGGCAC
rnacentral:rRNA from 1 species